rnacentral:lncRNA from 1 species
UGCUGACUCACCCUCUAACUCCUGGUCUUAUUACAUCCUGUCUCAGGGUCUGUGGUGUAGUCAUAGCACCUAAUGAGGUAGCAUUUGUUUAGUGAGAUCAGGGUGACUCUUCAUUCAAAAGCUUUUGGGCCAGUGCAUGCAUGAAUGGCAUUGGAAUGGGCAGCAGUUUCACUGUAGGGAGGGGCCCAAGAGGUAGAACUGGAACGUGGAAUAGGGACAAGGCUGAGAACUCUCCUUCCACUGGCUAUGGUGGAAGUAUAAUUCACAGAUAACUGCCCUGAUCCAUCAUCCAUGAAAUGUUCACAGAUAUAACCAAAUACAGGAGACGUUUGUAUGAAAUAAAGUAUCAUUAGGCUGGGAGCCAGAAUCUGGCGAGGUAGAUGCUGUCUGCAAACUGUCACCCUAUAGCCACUUCAGGAGUACUUUCCAAAUCACAGUUGCUUCUGUGGGAAUGGCAAGCUUGCUAUGAAAGGAAUUUUUGCCCUGAGAGUCAGUGUUGACAUCUACUUUCUAAAGUACUUCUAGUUAUGAGAGUCCCUGGAUCCAUGUUACUUGAGAG